UCUCUCUCUUUCAUUCUCUCUCUGUUUCUCUCUCUCUCUCUCUCUCUCUCUGCUUCUCUCUCUUCUUCUCUCUCUCUCUGCUUCUCUCUCUCUCUGCUUCUCUCUCUCUCUGCUUCUCUCUCUUCUUCUCUCUCUCUCUGCUUCUCUCUCUCUCUGCUUCUCUCUCUCUCUGCUUCUCUCUCUCUCUUUCUCUGUCUCUCUCUCUCUCUUUCUCUCUCUGCUUCUCUCUCUCUCUGUCUCUCUCUCUCUCUUUCUCUCUCUGUUUCUCUCUCUCUCUCUGUCUCUCUCUUUCAUUCUCUCUCUGUUUCUCUCUCUCUCUCUCUCUCUCUGCUGAUCUCGCUCUUCUUCUCUCUCUCUGCUUCUCUCUCUCUCUGCUUCUCUCUCUUCUUCUCUCUCUCUGCUUCUCUCUCUCUUCUUCUCUCUAUCUCUGCUUCUCUCUCUCUCUGCUUCUCUCUCUCUGCUUCCCUCUCUCUGCUUCUCUCUCAUUUCUCUCCACCCUCCUCCUCUCUGCUCCCUCACUCAUUCCCUAUCUCUACCUCCUCUCUCCCUCUCUCCCUCUUCUCUCUACAUCCUCUCUACCUCCUCUCUCUACAUCCUCUCUCUCUACCUCCUCUCUCUCUCUCUACCUCCUCUCUCUACAUCCUCUCUCCCUCUCUACAUCAUCUCUCCCUCUCUCCCUCUUCUCUCUAUAUCCUCUCUCUCUACCUCCUCUCACUACAUCCGCUCUCCCUCUAUCUCCUCUCUCCCUCUCUCUCUACAUCCUCUCUCUCUACCUCCUCUCACUACAUCCUCUCUUCCUCUAUCUCCUCUCUCUACAUCCUCUCUCCCUCUUCUCUCUACAUCCUCUCUCCCUCUCUACCCCCUCUCUUUACAUCUCCCUUCAUCCCUAUCUCCCUCCUCCCUCUACAUCCUCCCCCUCUCAUCUCCCUUCAUCCCUGUAUGUACUUCCCCUAGGGUCCCACAGCUUGGGGGGCAACCUUUUCCUCUCUACCUCCACUCUAAAAUAGCAGCCACAACCUUUAAACAUGCUAUUAACUGUGGGAUGGGGAAAUAAAAGGUCCCAGUGAGUUCCCAGAGGAGAUCUACUGACCUGAGGCUGCUUUAACUCAGACAACCUGUUGUUCCUUCUCUCCCCGUCUCUCUGUCUGUCUCUCUGUCUGUCUGUCUGUCUGUCUGUCUGUCUGUCUGUCUGUCUGUCUGUCUGUCUGUCCCUCUUUCUCAAAUUCUCCCCUUUGGGAGACAUACAGUUAGUGUUUGAGUUCUCUUCCAUUUCAGACCAAAACAUCAGCCCCAAACACACACCCAUUCACACAGACAUGAGGAGGAGGAGGAGGAGGAGGAGGAGGAGGAGAGAGCAUUCAUAGUUUACACUUCAGAAAUACUUGUCAUUCUCAGGAUGAACAUUUUAUUUCUAAUGCAGCCAUGGUUUUCUACCUCCCCCUGCUUUUACAUCUCAGGGUCUGGAGCCUGUAAACAGCCUGCUAGACCGAAAGAGAUGGUAUCUCCUGUACUUUUCCUCUCUCUCACCCCGUCAUAUUUCUCUCUCUCUCUCUGUCUCUCUCUCACCCUGUCAUAUCUCUCUCUCUCUCUCUCUCUGUCUCUCUCUCUGUCUCUCUCUCUGUCUCUCUCUCUGUCUCUCUCUCUGUCUCUCUCUCUCUCUCUCUCUCUCUCUCUCUCUCUCUCUCUCUCUCUCUCUGUCUAUCUCUCUGUCUCUCUCUCACCCUGUCAUAUGUCUCUCUCUCUGUCUCUCUCUC
ensembl:lncRNA